rnacentral:rRNA from 1 species
CACGUAGGGUGCGAGCGUUGUCCGGAAUUAUUGGGCGUAAAGAGCUCGUAGGCGGUCUGUCACGUCUGCCGUGAAAACCCGAGGCUCAACCCCGGGCCUGCAGCCGAUACGGGCAGACUAGAGUUCGGCAGGGGAGACUGGAAUUCCUGGUGUAGCGGUGAAAUGCGCAGAUAUCAGGAGGAACACCGGUGGCGAAGGCGGGUCUCUGGGCCGAUACUGACGCUGAGGAGCGAAAGCGUGGGGAGCGAACAGG